GAUAAACGCUAGCGGCAGGCUUAACACGUGCAAGUCGAGGGGCAGCAUAGAUUGUAGCAAUACAAUUGGUGGCGACCGGCGCACGGGUGCGUAACGCGUAUGCAACCUACCCGUCACAGGGGGAUAAUCCGGAGAAAUCUGGUCUAAUACCCCAUAACAUAUGGAUCGGCAUCGGUUCAUGUUGAAAUUUUCGGAGGUGACGGAUGGGCAUGCGUAGCAUUAGCUUGUUGGUGAGGUAACGGCUCACCAAGGCGACGAUGCUUAGGGGGACUGAGAGGUUGUCCCCCCACACUGGUACUGAGACACGGACCAGACUCCUACGGGAGGCAGCAGUGAGGAAUAUUGGUCAAUGGGCGCAAGCCUGAACCAGCCAUGCCGCGUGCAGGAUGACGGCUCUAUGAGUUGUAAACUGCUUUUGUACGAGGGUAAAGUGGGUUACGUGUAACCUUUUGAAAGUAUCGUACGAAUAAGGAUCGGCUAACUCCGUGACAGCAGCCGCGGUAA
rnacentral:rRNA from 1 species